CGCUGACAUCAGCUGCCAGCUAACGUGGAUUUAGCAAAUGAAGAGAGCCAACAUGUAGGUCCUCCACCUCCUUCUGCUUGACCCUCCUGGAAGAGUCCCCAGGUCAGCGUUGAUUGUGGUGAUUUUCACCGUGCGCAAGCUCUACGCCAGCACAGAGCCGUUCCUCCCUCUCGUCCCCCGGCAGACCCCUGCUGCAGACACCCACGGCUCCGGCUCCCCCCGCAGCUCCCUUCCCGGCCGGCACCCCGGAUGUGCCCCGUCCCUCGGGCGUCAGCACGUGUCCCGUAGCGUCUCUCCUUGCCCCUCGGCAGGACGCAUCCCGGCGAUGGAGGUAAAUGCAGAAAACAAAAUGGAGCAAUAAAAGUGC